GUUUCUAGGGUGUAAUCACGCUAUAAUUUCAUUAUAGAAAUAACUAAGGUUUAGAAAUA
rnacentral:tRNA from 1 species